rnacentral:lncRNA from 1 species
GUGCUGCUGGCCAUACGAAAGCAGGGCACACACAGAUGCACAACAUAAGACUUGGUGCCAAAUACCUGCCACCUGUUUGGAUGUUUACAACACUGUAUUUUUUUUAUCAUUAUUUUAGAGUGUAUAAAAGUUAACUGUAAAUCAGUCACAGACAAGUCCUUCAGGAGGGAUUCUAGAAAAAGAUUUUGCAAUCCUUGAAGACCUUCUAAAGGGGUAGGAUAUACUGUUUAGGUUUAUAAAGUACAGAAGCCAUAAAGAGCUAAAGCUCAUUUAUUAUGGGAGAAGAUAUUUUAAAAUAAAUUUAGUGUGCCCUAAGUGUGCACUGCUUUUCAAGUGUGCAGCAGUACAGUUAGGCCUCCCUCGCCUUCACGUCCAUGUCUUGCUACUCAUUGGCACAUCUACAACUUCCUGGCCUGCACCGGUGUGAGUAAGAGGAAGAGGAGGAUGAGGAGGAAGAAGAAGAAGAAGAAGAACAAGAACCACUUGCCUUUCUUUUCUCAGCACUCCAGCUGAAACAACAACAUCAACAUCAACAACAUCCAGCUGAGUGUGCAGAAGAGAUGGGGAAGUUAAGCCGACUGCUGCUCCAUUCGGUCAACUGUUUCAUGCACUGGAA